CCUACGGGAGGCAGCAGUGGGGAAUAUUGGGCAAUGGGCGCAAGCCUGACCCAGCAACGCCGCGUGAAGGAAGAAGGCUUUCGGGUUGUAAACUUCUUUUCUCAGGGACGCAGCUAGUGACGGUACCUGAGGAAUAAGCCACGGCUAACUACGCGCCAGCAGCGGCGGUAAUACGUAGGUGGCAAGCGUUAUCCGGAUUUACUGGGUGUAAAGGGCGGGUAGGCGGGAAAGCAAGUCAGAUGUGAAAACCAUGGGCUCAACCUGUGGCCUGCAUUUGAAACUGUUUUUCUUGAGUACUGGAGGGGCAAACGGAAUUCCUAGUGUAGCGGUGAAAUGCGUAGAUAUUAGGAGGAACACCAGUGGCGAAGGCGGUCUGCUGGACAGCAACUGACGCUGAGGCGCGAAAGCGUGGGGAGCAAACAGGAUUAGAUACCCCAGUAGUC
rnacentral:rRNA from 1 species